UACGUAGGGGGCAAGCGUUGUUCGGAUUUACUGGGCGUAAAGGGCGCGUAGGCGGGUAAGUAAGUCCGUGGUGAAAUCUCUGAGCUUAACUCAGAAACUGCCGUGGAUACUAUUUGCCUUGAAUAUUGUGGAGGUGAGCGGAAUAUGUCAUGUAGCGGUGAAAUGCUUAGAUAUGACAUAGAACACCAAUUGCGAAGGCAGCUCACUACACAAUCAUUGACGCUGAGGCACGAAAGCGUGGGGAUCAAACAGG
rnacentral:rRNA from 1 species